rnacentral:rRNA from 1 species
CCUCGGGAGGCAGCAGUGGGGAAUAUUUGGCCAUGGAGGCAACUCUUACCCAGCAACGCCGCCUGAAGGAAGAAGGCCUUUGGGUUGUAAACUUAUGUUGCAAAGGAAGAAAAGAAUGACGGUACUUUACAAGAAAGCCCCGGCUAACUAUGUGCCAGCAGCCGCGGUAAGACAUAGGGGGCAAGCGUUGUUCGGAAUUACUGGGCGUAAAGGGAGCGUAGGCGGGAGAUUAAGUUAAGAGUGAAAGCCUUGGGCUCAACCCAAGAAAUGCUCUUAAUACUGGUUGUCUAGAGUGUGGGAGAGGGAAGUGGAAUUCCUGGUGUAGCGGUGGAAUGCGUAGAGAUUAGGAGGAACAUCAGAGGCGAAGGCGGCUUUCUGGACAAUAACUGACGCUGAGGCUCGAAAGCGUGGGGAGCAAACAGGAUUAGAUACCCCUGUAGUC